GACGUAGGGGGCCAGCGUUGCUCGGAAUUACUGGGGGUAAAGGGCGCGUAGGCGGCCGAUCAAGUCAGAUGUGAAAGUCCUGGGCUUAACCUGGGGACUGCAUUUGAUACUGAUUGGCUUGAAUGCAGGAGAGGAUAGCGGAAUUCCCAGUGUAGAGGUGAAAUUCGUAGAUAUUGGGAAGAACACCGGUGGCGAAGGCGGCUAUCUGGACUGUGAUUGACGCUGAGGCGCGAAAGCGUGGGGAGCAAACAGG
rnacentral:rRNA from 1 species